rnacentral:rRNA from 1 species
CAGUAGCCGCGGGAAUACGUAGGGUGCAAGCGUUAAUCGGAAUUACUGGGCGUAAAGCGUGCGCAGGCGGUUAUAUAAGACAGAUGUGAAAUCCCCGGGCUCAACCUGGGAACUGCAUUUGUGACUGUAUAGCUAGAGUACGGCAGAGGGGGAUGGAAUUCCGCGUGUAGCAGUGAAAUGCGUAGAUAUGCGGAGGAACACCGAUGGCGAAGGCAAUCCCCUGGGCCUGUACUGACGCUCAUGCACGAAAGCGUGGGGAGCAAACAGGAUUAGAGACCCCUGUAGUCCCUGUCUCUUAUAC